rnacentral:rRNA from 1 species
UACGUAGGGUGCAAGCGUUAAUCGGAAUUACUGGGCGUAAAGCGUGCGCAGGCGGUUAUGUAAGACAGUUGUGAAAUCCCCGGGCUCAACCUGGGAACUGCAUUUGUGACUGCAUGGCUAGAGUACGGUAGAGGGGGAUGGAAUUCCGCGUGUAGCAGUGAAAUGCGUAGAGAUCGGGAGGAACAUCUGUGGCGAAGGCGGCGACCUGGACGCCUACUGACGCUGAGACGCGAAAGCCAGGGGAGCGAACGGG